AUGGAGAGAAAGCUCUCCAUGUCCGAGAUGCCGCAGUCCCUCCCGGAAAACGAUGGGGAACAAAGGUGUCUGAACUCGGAGCUAUGGCAUGCAUGCGCUGGGCCCCUUGUGUCUCUGCCCGCGGUUGGAAGCCGGGUCAUCUAUUUCCCACAGGGCCAUAGCGAGCAGGUUGCCGCAUCAACUAAUAAGGAGGUUGAUGCUCAAAUCCCUAAUUAUCCAAAUCUCCCCCCUCAGUUGAUCUGCCAGCUUCAUAAUGUCACCAUGCAUGCCGAUGCAGAGACUGAUGAAGUUUAUGCCCAAAUGACACUGCAGCCGCUGAGCCCGGAAGAGCAAAAAGAGCCUUUUCUUCCAAUCGAGUUGGGUGCUGCUAGCAAGCAGCCGACUAAUUACUUCUGCAAGACUUUGACUGCAAGUGAUACAAGUACACAUGGCGGAUUUUCUGUUCCUCGCCGGUCUGCUGAGAAAGUCUUCCCUCCAUUGGAUUUUUCUCUGCAGCCUCCAUGCCAGGAGCUCAUUGCAAAAGAUCUGCAUGAUAAUGAAUGGAAAUUUCGCCACAUAUUCCGUGGUCAGCCAAAAAGGCAUCUCCUGACUACAGGUUGGAGUGUCUUUGUAAGUGCAAAGCGACUAGUAGCAGGGGAUUCUGUUAUUUUCAUCUGGAAUGAUAAUAACCAACUUCUCUUGGGGAUUCGUCAUGCAAAUCGUCCUCAGACAAUUAUGCCGUCUUCUGUGCUGUCAAGCGACAGCAUGCAUAUAGGCCUUCUUGCAGCAGCAGCUCAUGCUGCGGCCACAAACAGUCGUUUCACUAUUUUCUAUAACCCCCGGGCUAGCCCUUCUGAGUUCAUCAUUCCAUUGGCUAAGUAUGUCAAAUCUGUUUACCACACACGUGUGUCUGUUGGAAUGCGGUUUAGAAUGCUUUUUGAGACAGAGGAGUCAAGUGUCAGACGAUACAUGGGUACAAUCACAACCAUAAGUGAUCUUGACUCUGUGCGUUGGCCAAAUUCACAUUGGCGUUCUGUGAAGGUUGGUUGGGACGAGUCCACCGCUGGUGAGAAACAACCUAGAGUGUCACUCUGGGAGAUUGAGCCAUUAACAACCUUUCCGAUGUAUCCAACUGCUUUUCCUUUAAGACUGAAGCGUCCAUGGGCUUCAGGGCUGCCCUCUAUGCAUGGCAUGUUCAAUGUUCUGUUCUGUAUCAUAUGCGCAGGUGUCAAAAAUGAUGAUUUUGCUCGUUAUUCUUCUCUCAUGUGGCUCGGAGAUGGGGAUAGAGGGGCUCAGUCGUUGAACUUCCAGGGAGUUGGAGCGUCACCUUGGCUUCAGCCAAGAAUGGAUUCUCCAUUGCUGGGUCUUAAGCCAGACACAUACCAGCAAAUGGCUGCAGCAGCACUGGAGGAAAUUAGAACUGGGGAUCCUUCGAAACAGUCCUCGGCUCUCUUGCAAUUCCAACAGACUCAGAAUCCGAACGGUGGGUUGAAUUCUGUGUAUGCCAAUCAUGUUCUGCAGCAGAUGCAGUAUCAGGCUCAGCAGUCGUCUCUGCAAACUGUUCAGCACGGCCAUAGUCAGUACAGUGGUAAUCCUGGGUUUCUUCAAAGUCAGUUUCAGCAGCUGCAUUUGCAUAAUCCUCCGGCACCACCACAGCAAGGGCAUCAGGUUAUACAGCAAUCUCACCAGGAGAUGCAACAGCAGCUUUCAUCUGGUUGUCAUCGUAUUUCCGAUGUAGAUUCUAGCAUGCCUGGUUCUGAGUCUGCUUCGCAGUCACAAUCUUCAUUCUACCAGCAGAACCUCUUAGAAGGAAACAAUGACCCAUCGUUGCAUCUUCACAAUGGUUUUCGUAACUUCUCUAGCCAAGAUUCCUCAAACCUUGUUAGUUUGCCUCGAACUGACCAAUUAAUGGCGCCGGAGGGAUGGCCUUCAAAGAGGUUGGCUGUGGAACCCCUUGGUCAUAUUGAAUCUCGGUCUGUGCAACCCAAACAUGAGAACGUAAAUCACCAGAGUAAUAUGUCCCACUUUGCUGGAACCUUGGCGCCGCAGUCAGCAAGAGACUCAUCCAGUGUCCAGGCUUAUGGUGCAAAUGUUGACAACCAAUUUCUGUCAUCGUCAUUUGCAUUCCAGGACGGAAUGGCAGGUGCAAGGGGUGGCAGCAGCAGCGGAACUGUUUCUAUGGCCAUACCUUUGUUGAGGUAUAGUGGCGAAGAUUUGCCACCCGCAGACACCUUAGCAACUUCCAGUUGUUUAGGCGAAUCGGGAACCUUCAACUCUCUUGAUAAUAUGUGUGGUGUAAACCCAUCACAAGAUGGAACCUUUGUGAAGGUUUACAAAUCAGGGUCCCCUGGAAGAUCGCUCGACAUCACCAGAUUCAGCAGCUACUAUGAGUUACGUAGUGAGCUGGAGCAUCUAUUUGGCCUCGAAGGCCAACUGGAGGACCCCGUAAGAUCAGGCUGGCAGCUUGUAUUCGUCGACCGAGAAAAUGAUAUUCUUCUCGUCGGCGACGACCCAUGGCAGGAGUUUGUGAAUAGCGUAGGGUGCAUCAAGAUACUCUCGCAGCAGGAGGUGCAGCAGAUGGUCCGCGGCGGCGAGGGCCUUCUGACCUCUGCACCUGGAGCGAGGAUGGCGCACGGCAAUGUCUGCGACGGUUAUUCUGGGGGCCACGACCUGCAGAAUCUCACCGGCAACAUGGCCUCCGUACCGCCACUGGACUACUGA
rnacentral:rRNA from 1 species